UUUAUUGGAGAGUUUGAUCCUGGCUCAGGAUGAACGCUGGCGGCGUGCCUAAUACAUGCAAGUCGAGCGAAUGGAUUAAGAGCUUGCUCUUAUGAAGUUAGCGGCGGACGGGUGAGUAACACGUGGGUAACCUGCCCAUAAGACUGGGAUAACUCCGGGAAACCGGGGCUAAUACCGGAUAACAUUUUGAACUGCAUGGUUCGAAAUUGAAAGGCGGCUUCGGCUGUCACUUAUGGAUGGACCCGCGACGCAUUAGCUAGUUGGUGAGGUAACGGCUCACCAAGGCAACGAUGCGU
rnacentral:rRNA from 1 species